GAUGAACGCUGGCGGCGUGCCUAAUACAUGCGAGUCGAGCGAACAGACGAGGAGCUUGCUCCUCUGACUUUAGCGGCGGACGGGUGAGUAACACGUGGAUAACCUACCUAUAAGACUGGGAUAACUUCGGGAAACCGGAGCUAAUACCGGAUAAUAUAUUGAACCGCAUGGUUCAAUAGUGAAAGACGGUUUUGCUGUCACUUAUAGAUUGAUCCGCGCCGCAUUAGCUAGUUGGUAAGGUAACGGCUUACCAAGGCAACGAUGGUUAGCCGACCUGAGAGGGUGAUCGGCCACCCUGGAACUGAGACACGGUCCAGACUCCUACGGGAGGCAGCAGUAGAGAAUCUUCCGCAAUGGGCGAAAGCCUGACGGAGCAACGCCGCGUGAGUGAUGAAGGUCUUCGGAUCGUAAAACUCUGUUAUUAGGGAAGAACAAAUGUGUAAGUAACUAUGCACGUCUUGACGGUACCUAAUCAGAAAGCCACGGCUAACUACGUG
rnacentral:rRNA from 1 species